UGCAGUCGAGCGAGCAGAACCAGCAGAUUUACUUCGGUAAUGACGCUGGGGACGCGAGCGGCGGAUGGGUGAGUAACACGUGGGGAACCUGCCCCAUAGUCUGGGAUACCACUUGGAAACAGGUGCUAAUACCGGAUAAGAAAGCAGAUCGCAUGAUCAGCUUAUAAAAGGCGGCGUAAGCUGUCGCUAUGGGAUGGCCCCGCGGUGCAUUAGCUAGUUGGUAAGGUAACGGCUUACAGGCAAUUGUUGCAUAGU
rnacentral:rRNA from 2 species